AUGAAGAGUGAUAUUCCAAAACUCGCUUUGUCCAUUUUUAUCAAAGUUGGGUUUUCAGUGGUACCUGGUAGAUGAAGUAUUAACUCACAUUCCUACAUCAUCAUCCUACCAAAAUGAGGUGUUAAACUCACCUAAAUAGCCAAUUCACUAAAAAUUUAAAAAAAAAUAAUGUUCCAAAACGCGCUUUGUCCAUUUUUAUUGAAAUUUUUUUCAGCAGUAUUUAGUGGAUGAAAUGUAUACCUACACUCCUACAUCAUAAAUCCGCUCAAAUAAAGUGCUAAAAUCGCCUAAAAAGCCAAUUUACCCGUUUAAAGGGAAACUGUUUUUCCUCUCUCCUGAAAAGUUGUGAAAAUGGACAAAGCGAGUUUUGGAAUAUCACUCUUCAUAUGAAAAAAUUCCUGGAAACCUAUCAGCUUCAUUUUCAUAGCUAUUUUACUAAUUACGAGUACUUACUCCUAACGGCGUUUUAGUUAUUAAAGAUUCUGAUUUUGAUGAACCGACGUAUAAGUUCAAAAUCGCGGUUGUGAAAACCUACGAAUUUAUGUGUCGUUUCCUUUACUCAGUCAUUUAUGGUGUAGCGAUCUGUCAAAAAUGAAGUGCGACUUUUUACAAUUUUUUUUAAUUUAUUUAAUAUCCGCGUUGAUUUACUACACGCCUACUUACGGAAGGCCUACAUCUGGCGCGAACGACGAUCUUAACAAGAAAUUGGAUAAAAUAGACAAAGAUAUUAGCAAGAUAUUGAAUGAAGCACGCGAACAAUUGAAUUGGGUGAGCAAAAAAGUGGAUGAUCUGGUGAACAACCCAUGGGGCAACCCAUUGGGAACUACUCCAAAGCGAACAUUACAUUAGAGAUGCAACAUGAUAAUUUAUACAGACGGAUUGUUGAUGGGAACGGUGAGCUAACAAUGUUUCAAAAUUGAUAAUAGCCUGCUAAGUAGCCAUCUUCCGAGUGACCAAGAAUUGAGGGUUUGAAUAAGCGAAAAAAUAAAAUAAUCUGCUCUAAAGUUUUAUCCCUCUCGACUAGAAGUUUCUCUAAAAUAUGAUAUUCAUUGGUACCUAUUUGUUAACGCUCGCCUUUCAUUAGAUUGUACCUAAAUAUGUAAUACAAUUUUGCCAAAAUCAAAUCCCCUCAAGCGCGAUUUUAUUAAAAUUGAAAGUUUUAUUACCCUUUUCUCUUCGACAUUUCGUUGAAAUAAGAAGAAGUGCUUCAUUAGACUACGAAGAUUGAAAAAAAAAUUAAAAAUUUGCGCAUUAGAACUUUUUUUUUGUCAUUUUUUAAAAUGUGAAAAAAGUAAGAUUUAAUCCGGUGAUAUCACUGCGACCUUAUUCUACCAAGAAUCUGUUGUUUCAUCAUCACCACCAGGCACCAUGUUCCAAAAAUUCAAAGCUUUCGAGUUUAUCGAGCGACAACAUUUUCCAACAUUUUUUAAAACUCUUUACCUAUAAAACGGCUGAACCGAUUUUGAUGAAACUUGAAAUCUCGCUAGGCCUGCACGAUUCCUACGAAGUACAACACGACUCUCAAUUUUUGGUGAAUUGUUCAUGAACGAAUUGAUCAAUUUUUUGAAAGAACCAUUCGCCAACGAAUUGAUCAAAUCUUUGAUUUAUGAGUCAAUUCGUUCGCGUAUGAGCCACUAAAAAUCAUUCAAUUCGUUCGCGAAUGAUUCAUUAGAAAUUGAGCAAAUGAAUCGACUCGUUCGCGAACGAGUCACUUAUAUGAAUCGAUUUGUUCGCGAAUGAUCUAAAAAAAAUAAUUCAAUUCGUUCACGAAUGAUUCACCAAAAAUUGAGCAAAUGAAUCGAUUCGUUGGCAAAUGAGUCAGGAGUCACUACUACAAACCAAUUCGUUCGCGAAUGAUUCACUAAAAAUUAUUUAAUUUGUUCGCGAAUGAUUCACCAAAAAUUGACCAAAUGAAUCGAUUCGAUCGCAAAUAGUCACUAACACAAAUCAAUUCGUUCGCGAAUGAUUCAUCAGAAAUUGAGUUGAUGAAUCAAUUCGUUCGCGAACGAGUCACUCGUGCGAAUCAAUUCGUUCGCGGAUGAUUCACUAAAAAUUAUUUAUUUCGUUCGCGAAUGAUUCACCAAAAAUUGAGUUAAUGAAUCGAUUUGUUCGCGAACGAUUCACUUACACGACUCGAUUCGUUCGUGAACGAGUCACCUAUACCAAUCAAUUCGUUCGCGAACGAGUCACUUGUACGAAUCCAUUCGUUCACGAAUGAUUCACCAAAAAUUGACCAAAUGAAUCGAUUCGUUCGCAAAUGAGUCACUAAUACAAAUCAAUUCGUUCGCGAAUGAUUCACCAAAAAUUGAGUUGAUGAAUCGAUUCGUUCGCGAACGAUUCACUUACACGACUCGAUUCGUUCGCGAACGAGUCACUUGUACGAAUCCAUUCGUUCACGAAUGAUCCACCAAAAAUUGAGCAAAUGAAUCGAUUCGUUCACGAAUGAGUCACUUAUACGAAUCAAAUCGUUCGCGAAUGAUUUAAAAAAAUAAUUCAAUUCGUCGGUGAAUGAUUCACCAAAAAUUGGCCAAAUGAAUCGAUUCGUUCGCAAAUAGUCACCAAUACAAAUCAAUUCGUUCGCAAAUGAUUCAUCAGAAAUUCAGUUAAUGUAUCCAUUCGUUCGCGAACAAGUCACUCAUGCGAAUCAAUUCCUUUACGAAUGAUUCACUAAAAAUUAUUUAAUUCGUUCGCAAAUGAUUCACCAAAAAUUGAGGUAAUGAAUCGAUUCGUUCGCGAAUGAUUCACUUACACGACUCGAUUCGUUCGCGAACGAGUCACUUAUACCAAUCAAUUCGUUCGCGAACGAGUCACUUGUACGAAUCCAAUCGUUCGCGAAUGAUCCACCAAAAAUUGAGCAAAUGAAUCGAUUCGUUCGCGAAUCAUUUAAAAAAAUAAUUCAAUUCGUUCGUGAGUGAUUCACCAAAAAUUGAGCAAAUGAAUCGAUUCGUUCGCAAAUAGUCACCAAAACAAAUCAAUUCGUUCGCGAAUGAUUCAUCAGAAAUUGAGUUAAUGAAUAGAUUCGUUCGCGAACGAGUCACUCAUGCGAAUCAAUUCGUUCGCAAAUGAUUCACUAAAAAUUAUUUAAUUCGUUCGCAAAUGAUUCGCCAAAAAUUGAGGCAAUGAAUCGAUUCGUUCCCGAACGAGUCCCUUAUACGAAUCGAUUCGUUCGCGAACGAGUCCCUUAUACGAAUCGAUUCGUUCGCGAACAAGUCACUUAUACGAAUCAAUUCGUUCGCGAAUGAUUUAAAAAAUAAUUCAAUUCGUUCGCGAAUGAUCCACCAAAAAUUGAGCAAAUGAAUCGAUUCGUUCGCGAAUCAUUUAAAAAAAUAAUUCAAUUCGUUCGUGAGUGAUUCACCAAAAAUUGAGCAAAUGAAUCGAUUCGUUCGCAAAUAGUCACCAAAACAAAUCAAUUCGUUCGCGAAUGAUUCAUCAGAAAUUAAGUUAAUGAAUAGAUUCGUUCGCGAACGAGUCACUCAUGCGAAUCAAUUCGUUCGCAAAUGAUUCACUAAAAAUUAUUUAAUUCGUUCGCAAAUGAUUCGCCAAAAAUUGAGGCAAUGAAUCGAUUCGUUCCCGAACGAGUCCCUUAUACGAAUCGAUUCGUUCGCGAACGAGUCCCUUAUACGAAUCGAUUCGUUCGCGAACAAGUCACUUAUACGAAUCAAUUCGUUCGCGAAUGAUUUAAAAAAUAAUUCAAUUCGUUCGUGAAGGAUUCACCAAACAUUGGGCAAAUGAAUCGAUUCGUUCGUGGAUAAUUCACUAAAAAUUAUUCAAUUUGUUCGAUGAUGAUUCAUCAAAAAUUGGGUUAGUUAGUGAAUCGAUUCUUUCGCGAACGAGUCAGUUAUACGAAUCAAUUCGUCCGCAAAUGAUUCACUAAAAAUUAUUUAAUUCGUUCGCAAAUGAUUCACCAAAAAUUGAGGCAAUGAAUCGAUUCGUUCCCGAAUGAGUCACUUAUACGAAUCGAUUCGUUCGCGAAUGAUUUAAAAAAUAAUUCAAUUCGUUCGUGAAGGAUUCACCAAAUAUCGGGCAAAUAAAUCGAUUCGUUCAUGGAUAAUUCACUAAAAAUUAUUCAAUUUGUUCGAUGAUGAUUCAUCAAAAAUUGGGUUAGUGAAUCGAUUCUUUCGCGAACGAGUCAGUUAUACGAAUCGAUUCGUUCGCGAACGAGUCAGUUAUACGAAUCAAUUCGUUCGCAAAUGAUUCACUAAAAAUUAUUUAAUUCGUUCGCAAAUGAUUCACCAAAAGUUGAGGCAAUGAAUCGAUUCGUUCCCGAACGAUUCCCUUGUACGAAUCGAUUCGUUCGCGAACGAGUCCCUUAUACGAAUCGAUUCGUUCGCGAACAAGUCACUUAUACGAAUCAAUUCUUUCGCGAAUGAUUUAAAAAAUAAUUCAAUUCGUUCGUGAAGGAUUCACCAAAUAUUGGGCAAAUGAAUCGAUUCGUUCGUCGAUAAUUCACUAAAAAUUAUUCAAUUUGUUCGCGGAUGAUUCAUCAAAAAUUGGGUUAGUGAAUCGAUUCGUUCGCGAACGAGUCAGUUAUACGAAUCGAUUCGUUCGCGAACGAGUCACUUGUACAAAUGAAUUCGUUCGCGAUCGAUUUAAAAAAAUAAUUCGUUCGUGAAUGACUCACCAAAAAUUGAGCAAAUGAAUCGAUUCGUAGGCAAAAAGUCACCAAUACAAAUCAAUUCGUUCGCGAAUGAUUCACCGAAAAUUGACCAAAUGAAUCGAUUCGUUCGCAAAUGAGUCACUAAUACAAAUUCGUAGGCAAAAAGUCACCAAUACAAAUCAAUUCGUUCGCGAAUGAUUCACCGAAAAUUGACCAAAUGAAUCAAUUCGUCCGCAAAUGAUUCACCAAAAAUUGAGGCAAUGAAUCGAUUCGUUCCCGAAUGAGUCACUUAUACGAAUCGAUUCGUUCGCGAAUGAUUUAAAAAAUAAUUCAAUUCGUUCGUGAAGGAUUCACCAAAUAUCGGGCAAAUAAAUCGAUUCGUUCAUGGAUAAUUCACUAAAAAUUAUUCAAUUUGUUCGAUGAUGAUUCAUCAAAAAUUGGGUUAGUGAAUCGAUUCUUUCGCGAACGAGUCAGUUAUACGAAUCGAUUCGUUCGCGAACGAGUCAGUUAUACGAAUCAAUUCGUUCGCAAAUGAUUCACUAAAAAUUAUUUAAUUCGUUCGCAAAUGAUUCACCAAAAGUUGAGGCAAUGAAUCGAUUCGUUCCCGAACGAUUCCCUUGUACGAAUCGAUUCGUUCGCGAACGAGUCCCUUAUACGAAUCGAUUCGUUCGCGAACAAGUCACUUAUACGAAUCAAUUCUUUCGCGAAUGAUUUAAAAAAUAAUUCAAUUCGUUCGUGAAGGAUUCACCAAAUAUUGGGCAAAUGAAUCGAUUCGUUCGUCGAUAAUUCACUAAAAAUUAUUCAAUUUGUUCGCGGAUGAUUCAUCAAAAAUUGGGUUAGUGAAUCGAUUCGUUCGCGAACGAGUCAGUUAUACGAAUCGAUUCGUUCGCGAACGAGUCACUUGUACAAAUGAAUUCGUUCGCGAUCGAUUUAAAAAAAUAAUUCGUUCGUGAAUGACUCACCAAAAAUUGAGCAAAUGAAUCGAUUCGUAGGCAAAAAGUCACCAAUACAAAUCAAUUCGUUCGCGAAUGAUUCACCGAAAAUUGACCAAAUGAAUCGAUUCGUUCGCAAAUGAGUCACUAAUACAAAGCAAUUCGUUCGCGAAUGAUUCACCAUGUAAUGAAUCGAUUCGUUCGCGAACGAUUCACUUACACGACUCGAUUUGUUCGCGAACGAGUCACUUAUACUAAUCAAUUCGUUCACGAACGAGUCACUUGUACAAAUCCAUUCGUUCACGAAUGAUUCACCAAAAAUUGAGCAAACGAAUCGAUUCGUUCGCAAACCGUCACUAAUACAAAUCAGUUCGUUCGCGAAUGAUUCGCCAAAAAUUGAGUUAAUGAAUCGAUUCAUUCGCGAACGAGUCACUCAUGCGAAUCUAUUCGUUCGCGAAUGAUUCACCUAGAAAUCAAUCGAUUUGUUCAAUCACCUAUCAGUUGUGAAUGAAUGGAUUCGAUUCACUUGCCUUGUAAACAGAUCAAUUCCUAUGCAAUAAGUAUAGUUUCACAAAAACCGAAUAAAUCGUAAAUUAGUUGAUCCGUUUGCGAAUGAUUCACCAAAAAAUCAAUCAUUUAAUCCCCAAUCGUUCGUUAAUGAUUCGAUUCGAUUGUAUACAGACCAAUUGCUGUACAAAUAUUAAUUUCAAAUUUUGUAAAAAAAGAUCCGUUUUUUCAAAAAUUCAUCACUAAAUUGUCUAAUUAAGAAAGGUCCACAAUAAAAUUGUAAAUAUGUUUUGUAUUGUUUCGUUGUGUUUUUUGGAUAUCAUUCAUGAUAGAUAAUUGUUCCAUUCUUUGAUGUUUAUAUUAUGUAUUAGGUAUGCGAUUUUGUUAUGAUUUAAAUUGUUCUUUAUUGUUUGCAAACCCGAAUUCAAAUACUUAGUGUAAUAUGCAUGUUCUAUGUUUUCUUAUUUUGGAAGUUAUGAUUUAGAGGUUAUUACAAUUGAAUUCUUUUAAAAAAAAUUCCAAAGUGUCGCUGAAUCUUUUUUUUUCAACAUGAAGAAUCGAUUUAUCAUCGCUAUUUUCGCAACUUUAACAAAUCUACAAAAAUUGCUCAACAGUUUUCUUAAAAAUCAAGGCAAAUUAAUCUCUAAUCUAUCUGAGCAGAUCAUGAUUUGAAAGUCAAUAAAUUUUUACCCUUCCCAGUGGCCCCAAAAAAAGUACAGAACCAUUUAGGUACUUGAUUAUUUUUCAUUUUUAAUCUUUCUAGUUCGAUAUGAAAAAAUUCCUUGAAACCUAUCAGCUUCAUUUUCAUAGCUACUUUACUGACGAGUACUUACUCCCAACGACGUUUUAGUUAUUAGAGAUUCUGAUCUUGAUGAACAGGCGUAUACGUAAGUUCAAAAUUACGGUUGUGAAAACCUACGAAUUUUUGUGUCGUUUCCUGUACUUAGUCUUUUACGGUGUAUCGAUUUGUCAAAAAUGAAGUGCAACUUUUUACAGUUUUAUUUAAUUUAUUUAAUAUCCGCGUUGAUUUACUACACGCCUACUUACGGAAGGACUACAUCGGGCGCGGAUGACGAAUUUUUCAAUAGAUUGGAUAAAAUGAACGAUAAUUUGUCUAGCUUGCGCAAAAGUGUGGAUGAGCUGUUGAAAAGCCAAUGGGGAACUACUCCAAAGCGAACAAUACAUUAGAGAUGCUACGUGAUAAUUUGUACAGACGGAUUGUCGAUGGGAAUGAGGACAUCACGGAUGAAGAUGAAGAAACCGUAAUAGAAGUUCUCAAGAGAAGAGAUAAAUUGACUCCGAGAACAAUAAAUUAAUUUAUCACUUUCCAAUCUUAGACUAAGUACAUACGCAAGUAGUAAGAACAUGGACCAGGGACCAGGCAAUAUAUAUUUUUUUAAAAUCUAUCUUCACUCAAAAAUAGACUUUUCUUCAAGUUAGGGAUCUGGUUGGGAUGAAUAAUUAUAAAAUGGCUUAGGUGGUCCACUUUUCUACCAUUAACAUCGUUGUCGUCGUUUCCUGGUAAGUGGUAGGCCUGUUGGCCUGUCUGCUACGGUGUGGAACCUGUUGAGGAUGAGCCUGAGGUAUCAGUGAGUUUCUUCCUUGGUCUCCCUCUGCUUCUCUACCCCGUUGGUGUAUAUUGGAGGACCUGUUUUGGUGAUAGUCGGGGAGCCCACUUAAGGAUAAAUUGCACCCCCCCGGUCGAUCCUCCGGGACAACUUUUUUCUUAAAGGGGGAGUCCUAAGGAACAUUUCUAGCCCUUGUACUCAAAAAAAAAAGUGGCCCUACUUACAAAAUGGCGGCCAUUUUGAUUGACAGGUCAUUCAAACUGUACAAAGGUAGAUCGAAAGAUCCAGCAAAAAUUGAUCACCUGUCAAAAUUUCAAGUGCUAAAGUGCUUUUUUCGAUUUUUGGUGAAUUUUUGAAAAUCAAAUUUAGGCUAAAAAUGAGGGAAAAAAUCAAAAUGUUACCAAAUUGACCAAGAAAGCUGAAAUUUGGGAUACACCCUAUUUUCGACAUGCCAAAUCGAUUGGAAACUGUUUCAAACCGUUUUGAGCAGUUCUGGAGCCUCCAGCAGAUUUUUGAAACUCGAAAUUCCCACAAAAUUUCACCAAAAUGGAGUUGGAAAGUUGAAAUUCAUUCUGCAAACUAAUUUCAAUACGCUACGAAGUCAACUGCAGGGGAAUUUCAAGUCGUUUUGGGGUUCCAGUGACCUUUCGAAAAUUACUGGAGUCUCCAGCAGAUUUUUGAAACUUGAAAUUCCCACAGUAUUUUAUCAAAUGCAGUUAGCUAGCUGAAAUUUACUUCGCAAACUGAUUUCAAUACGAUAUGAAGUCGACUGCAUGGUGGUUUCAAGUGGGUUUGAAGCUUCCCACUACUUUUUGGAAAUUUCAAUUUUCCAAAAAACACCAUACGACCUCUCAAAAAGUGGCUGGAGGCUCCAAAACAACUUGAACCCACCUGAAAUCGUCUUCAGAGAGUGUUGAAAUUGAAGUGUAAAGUAAAUUUCAGCUUUCCAUCUCCAUUUUAUGAAAUUUUGUGAAAAUUCAAAGUUUCAAAAAUCUACUGGAGGCUCCAGUAAUUUUCAAAAAACCGCUGGAUGCUCCAAAUCGACUUGAAAUUUCCCUGCAGUUGACUUCGUAGCGUAUUGAAAUUAGUUUGCAGAAUGAAUUUCAACUUUCCAACUCCAUUUUGGUGAAAUUUUGUGGGAAUUUCGAGUUUCAAAAAUCUGCUGGAGGCUCCAGAACUGCUCAAAACGGUUUGAAACAGUUUCCAAUCGAUUUGGCAUGUCGAAAAUAGGGUGUAUCCCAAAUUUCAGCUUUCUUGGUCAAUUUGGUAACAUUUUGAUUUUUCCCCUCAUUUUUAGCCUAAAUUUGAUUUUCAAAAAUUCACCAAAAAUCGAAAAAAGCACUUUAGCACUUGAAAUUUUGACAGGUGAUAAAUUUUUGCUUGAUCUUUCGAUCUACCUUUGUACAGUUUGAAAAAUGUUGUGCAAGUCCUAUUUUGAAACGCAAAAUCUGCGAUUUCAGCUGACCUGUCAAUCAAAAUGGCCGCCAUUUUGUAAGUAGGGCCACUUUUUUUUUUGAGUACAAGGGCUAGAAAUGUUCCUUAGGACUCCCCCUUUAAGAAAAAAGUUGUCCCGGAGGAUCGACGGGGGGGGGGUGCAAUUUAUCCUUAAGUGGGCUCCCCGGCUAUGAUCUUGUUUCCUCCAUCCUCUUGACAUGAUUUCUCCAAUCUUUCCUAUACUGUUUUAUCCUCUUCAUGACUGGCUUAACUCCGAGAUCUGCUGUUAUUUUCUCAGAUGGGACUCUAUCAGUCACAACUGUAUGCAACUCAUCUGAUGAAAAAUUACAGAAAUUCACUUUUCGGGAGACAAAGGAAAACCCUCGUAUAUGUUUUUCUAUUGUUUCGUUGUGUUUUUUGAAUAUCAUUUAUGAUUAUGAUAGAUAAUUGUUCUAAUUUUUGAUGUUUAUAAUAUAUGUAAUUAUGUAUUACGCGAUUUUGUUAUGAUUUACUUGAAUUGUUCUUUAUUAUUUGCAAACCUGAAUUCAAAUACCUAGUCCUAGUGUAAUAUAAGGUACGGUUAUGUAAUGUUCAAUGUUUUCUUAUUUUUGUAAUUUUAUUGUUUAUUUUUGUAUGCGUCAUUUUGUACCUACGUGUGAUGUUAUUACUUAUAAUUGCAUUUUUAUUUACAACAAAAAUUAUUCAAAUAUAUGUAGGUACCUAUAUACUUGAACAUUGUAGAAGUGUUUUCUGAUACUCAUACAGUAUACAACCCUUCUCAGCGCU